AAGACAGAUUUCUACGUCAACAGAUUGGCGUUAGAGGAAGAGCCAAGCCCAUUUAUGGAAAGGAGCAAAUAUUCAAUGGGAAAAGUUUCAUCACACUGCUUUAAUGCCGGUGAGAUCUAGAUUGUCUACCUCUUAAUCGGCCAGAUGAUCAUAAUCUGGCUAUUUACAAAUCAAUGGAUGUCGAUUGGAUCCUUUUUGAUUCGACCAUCAGACUAGAUCUGAUUAGUUAACAACCCUCCAAGACUGUCUCAAUCGGCUCAAAGCUGGAGGGUUCCGAAUAGGAAAAGAGAUCACAACUAGGGAAAAAAUUAUGAGGAUUUCUUGAUUUUCAAAUCAUCUGCACUCUCUCAUUUUAAAAUUUAAAUUUUGAACUCUU
rnacentral:lncRNA from 1 species